CCUACGGGAGGCUGCAGUGGGGGAUAUUGCACAAUGGGGGGAACCCUGAUGCAGCGACGCCGCGUGGGUGAAGGAGCGUUUCGGCGCGUAAAGCCCUAUCGGCAGGGAAGAAGAUGACGGUACCUGGCCAAGAAGCCCCGGCUAACUACGUGCCAGCAGCCGCGGUAAUACGUAGGGGGCAAGCGUUAUCCGGAUUUACUGGGUGUAAAGGGGGCGCAGACGGCAAUGCAAGCCAGGAGUGAAAGCCCGGGGCCCAACCCCGGGACUGCUUGUGGAACUGCAUGGCGGGAGUACAGGAGGGGCCGGGGGAAUUCCUAGUGGAGCGGGGAAAUGCGUAGAGAUUAGGAGGAACACCAGGGGCGAAGGGGGCCGACUGGACUGUAACUGACGUGGAGGCCCGAAGGCGUGGGGAGAAAACAGGAUUAGAUACCCCAGUAGUC
rnacentral:rRNA from 1 species